UGGGGAAUUUUGGACAAUGGGCGAAAGCCUGAUCCAGCAAUGCCGCGUGUGUGAAGAAGGCCUUCGGGUUGUAAAGCACUUUUGUCCGGAAAGAAAUCCUUGGCUCUAAUACAGUCGGGGGAUGACGGUACCGGAAGAAUAAGCACCGGCUAACUACGUGCCAGCAGCCGCGGUAAUACGUAGGGUGCAAGCGUUAAUCGGAAUUACUGGGCGUAAGCGUGCGCAGGCGGUUUGCUAAGACCGAUGUGAAAUCCCCGGGCUCAACCUGGGAACUGCAUUGGUGACUGGCAGGCUAGAGUAUGGCAGAGGGGGGUAGAAUUCCACGUGUAGCAGUGAAAUGCGUAGAGAUGUGGAGGAAUACCGAUGGCGAAGGCAGCCCCCUGGGCCAAUACUGACGCUCAUGCACGAAAGCGUGGGGAGCAAACAGGAUUAGAUACCCUGGUAGUCCACGCCCUAAACGAUGUCAACUAGUUGUUGGGGAUUCAUUUCCUUAGUAACGUAGCUAACGCGUGAAGUUGACCGCCUGGGGAGUACGGUCGCAAGAUUAAAACUCAAAGGAAUUG
rnacentral:rRNA from 1 species